rnacentral:rRNA from 1 species
GACGAACGCUGGCGGCGUGCUUAACACAUGCAAGUCGAACGCUGAAGCUCAGCUUUUGUUGGGUGGAUGAGUGGCGAACGGGUGAGUAACACGUGAGUAACCUGCCCCCUUCUUUGGGAUAACGCCCGGAAACGGGUGCUAAUACUGGAUAUUCACUGGUCUUCGCAUGGGGGUUGGUGGAAAGGGUUUUUCUGGUGGGGGAUGGGCUCGCGGCCUAUCAGCUUGUUGGUGGGGUGAUGGCCUACCAAGGCUUUGACGGGUAGCCGGCCUGAGAGGGGGACCGGUAACAUUGGGACUGAGAUACGGCCCAGACUCCGACGGGAGGCAGCAGUGGGGAAUAUUGCACAAUGGGCGCAAGCCUGAUGCAGCGACGCCGCGUGAGGGACGGAGGCCUUCGGGUUGUGAACCUCUUUCGCUCAUGGUCAAGCCGCAACAAUGGUUGUGGUGAGGGUAGUGGGUAAAGAAGCGCCGGCUAACUACGUG